GAAGUCUUGUCAUUGUGGAAAGAUCCAAAGAACCAAAAUCUACCAAUGAUUGCUUCAACUGCUUUUCUGCAAGGGCACAGGUUUGUGGAGCAAGCAGCUGUUCAUUUGUUUUGUCAAUAAUGGAAAGAAGACUGGAAGAGCUGAUGACAGGGCUCGGCUGUUGCAAAGGUCUUUCUGGAGCUGAAUAGAUUUACAGCUGCUAGAGUUGGUUCCUGGAGCCCAGGUUGCUAAAGAGCAGGGUAGGAUUUUCCCUUGGCAUGAAUCGGCUGUGGGAAAGAUCAUCAAGACCUCCUACCCACAUCAGGAUUGU